CUAGUGGGGUACGGAUGAGUAACCGUGGAAACGUACCUUUAAGUUCGGAACAACGUGGGGAAACUUGUGCUAAUACCGGAGGUGCCCUUCGGGGGAAAGAUUUAUCGCCUUUAGAGCGGCCCGCGUUAGAUUACCUAGUUGGUGAGGUAAAGGCUCAACAAGGCUACUAUCGAUAGCUGGUCUGAGAGGAUGAUCAGCCACAUUGGGACUGAGACACGGCCCAAACUCCUACGGGAGGCAGCAGUGGGGAAUCUUGCGCAAUGGUCGAAAGACUGACGCAGCCAUGCCGCGUGAAUGAUGAAGGUCUUAGGAUUGUAAAAUUCUUUCAACAGGGACGAUAAUGACGGUACCUGCAGAAGAAGCCCCGGCUAACUUCGUGCCAGCAGCCGCGGUAAUACGAAGGGGGCUAGCGUUGCUCGGAAUUACUGGGCGUAAAGGGAGCGUAGGCGGGUUAUCAAGUUGGAGGUGAAAGCCCAGGGCUCAACCUUGGAAUUGCCUUCAAAACUGAUAGCCUAGAGUAUGAUAGAGGUAAGUGGAACUCCGAGUGUAGAGGUGAAAUUCGUAGAUAUUCGGAAGAACACCAGUGGCGAAGGCGACUUACUGGAUCAUGACUGACGCUGAGGCUCGCAAACGUGGGGAGCAAACACGAUUAUAUACCCUGGUAGUCCACGCUGUACACGAUGAUUGCUAGUUGUCGCACGAUAUGCCGCUCGGUGACGCAACUUACGCAUUAAGCAAUCCGCCUGGUGAGUACUGUCGCACAAUAAGACUCACACGAAUUGACGGGUGUCCGCCCAUGCGCUGGAGCU
rnacentral:rRNA from 1 species